GGGUUUCCGGUCGUCGCCAGGGGUAGAGAUUCUCGUCCAAAUGAAAGACGUACUUCCCAAAGCUUUCAACCCCUAUCCGGGCCUUCUUCAGUGGCUGGAAGUGGGUGAAUUUCUUUAUUUAACAAUUAACAUUCAAACAAUUUUAUAUAACAAUAAUUCUUACUCGUAACAGAUUCUUUGGACACGUCUAACGUCACUGACUUUUACAUUACUAUAGAACAUCGCGAGGGAGAUCUUUGAUUCUAUGGGGGUGGUUUUUCCUCGGUUUUAAAUGAAUUUUCCUACUUUUCUUGUACAAUUUGUGUUAAUUCUCUUUGUUUGGCGGAGAAACUAUUUUUAACGGCCUCUGUCACUAUGAAUAAUUCAAUUCUCCGCUGUGUCAUUUCCCCUUUCCAUUUGACGUUCAUUCAUCGAUGUGUUUCGUUGAGUUUGUCUUCCCCUCCGUCUAUUUGUUGAUGUUUUGUUUAGCGCGAUGAGAUUUGUGUAGACACUGCUGAGCCUCUCCACAUCCCUCCUGGAAUUCACCAGCAGGGGAAGAUUCUCUUGUAUGUGGAGCAUCUCUGUGAUCAGACGCCUUGUGUAGUGUCUUUGGGUAUCCAGGAUCUCCACGUCAUCGAAUCUGAACAUAUGCCCAGUGCGUUUUGGGCAGUCUGCACAUGGAAUAGAGUACACCACACCUGACCUGGAGAGCUUUGGUACUGGGUCUUUUACGCGGGAGAAGUAUCUGUUGUUCUUCCCGGACAUAGAGAAGGCAACUCCACAUCCCGUGGUGGAUGUGAUUAUCUUUUUCAUCUUUUCUGCCGUUCCCGGCAUGUAUGUGAUUGGGAAGUACUGACAUUGUGUGCCUCUCCUGCCGGAUUCAGUGGCAUUCUCCACAUCCCUGUCCACGGUUUCCCGCCUCAUGAGAUGGUUGAUCACCCUUCGUGGGAAAUCAUUGAGCUUCAGUAUCUCCUCGAUGGUGCCUGUAUUGUUUACCCCCGGUUUUGUGGUCAGGGAGGUCACCCUUCUAAUAAAAUUUCUUGCUACAUUUA